CCGCCAUUAGCUCAUCGGGAUAGAGCGCCAGCCUUCGAAGCUGGUUGCGCGGGGUUAGAGUCCUCGAUGGCGGUCCA
rnacentral:tRNA from 4 species